GACAGAGGGUGCAAACGUUUGUUCGGAAUUACUGGGCGUAAAGCGCGUGUAGGCGGCCCUGCAAGUCGGGUGUGAAAUCCCACGGCUCAACCGUGGAAGUGCACUCGAAACUGCGAGGGCUAGAGUCCUGGAGAGGGAAGGUGGAAUGCUUGGUGUAGAGGUGAAAUUCGUAGAUAUCAAGCGGAACACCGGUGGCGAAGGCGGCCUUCUGGACAGUGACUGACGGCUGAGACGCGAAAGCGUGGGGGAGCGAACAGG
rnacentral:rRNA from 1 species